rnacentral:misc_RNA from 1 species
AAGUCGUAACAAGGUUUCCGUAGGUGAACCUGCGGAAGGAUCAUUAUCGAGUUUUGAAGUGGGUCUUAUGAGCUGGCUUUUCGCGAAGCACUGUGCUCGGGCCCCGCUCCAAUCCACUCAACCCCUGUGCACUUUCGGAGUUGCGGGUCCCUUUGUAGUGAAGGCCCGUGGCUUCGUCUCUUAUCACAAACCAUAUGUAUUAUUGUUUUGUAGAACGUGGAUGCCUGCAAAGGCGGAAACUCAAUACAACUUUCAACAACGGAUCUCUUGGCUCUC